GACGAACGCUGGCGGCGUGCUUAACACAUGCAAGUCGAGCGGAAAGGCCCUUUCGGGGGUACUCGAGCGGCGAACGGGUGAGUAACACGUGAGUAAUCUGCCCCUGGCUUUGGGAUAGCCACCGGAAACGGUGAUUAAUACCGGAUACGACCACUUCUCGCAUGGGAUGGUGGUGGAAAGUUUUUCGGCCAGGGAUGUGCUCGCGGCCUAUCAGCUUGAUGGUGAGGUAAUGGCUCACCAUGGCCUCGACGGGUAGCCGGCCUGAGAGGGUGACCGGUCACACUGGGACUGAGACACGGCCCAGACUCCUACGGGAGGCAGCAGUGGGGAAUAUUGGACAAUGGGCGGAAGCCUGAUCCAGCAACGCCGCGUGAGGGAUGACGGCCUUCGGGUUGUAAACCUCUUUCAGCAGGGACGAAGCGCAAGUGACGGUACCUGCAGAAGAAGCACCGGCCAACUACGUGCCAGCAGCCGCAGUAA
rnacentral:rRNA from 1 species